CCUACGGGUGGCAGCAGUGAGGAAUAUUGGUCAAUGGGCGCGAGCCUGAACCAGCCAAGUCGCGUGAGGGAGGACGGCCCUACGGGUUGUAAACCUCUUUUGCCGGGGAGCAACGGGCGUCACGUGUGGCGCCACUGAGAGUACCCGGAGAAAAAGCAUCGGCUAACUCCGUGCCAGCAGCCGCGGUAAUACGUAGGGGGCAAGCGUUAUCCGGAUUUACUGGGUGUAAAGGGAGCGUAGACGGAAAGGCAAGUCAGAAGUGAAAACCCAAGGCUCAACCAUGGGACUGCUUUUGAAACUGUCAAACUAGAGUACGGGAGAGGUAAGAGGAAUUCCUAGUGUAGCGGUGAAAUGCGUAGAUAUUAGGAGGAACACCAGUGGCGAAGGCGUCUUACUGGACCGAAACUGACGUUGAGGCUCGAAAGCGUGGGGAGCAAACAGGAUUAGAUACCCCUGUAGUC
rnacentral:rRNA from 1 species